AGCAGCCGCGGUAAUUCCAGCUCCAAUAGCGUAUAUUAAAGUUGUUGCAGUUAAAAAGCUCGUAGUUGAAUUUCGGAAUUAAUAUGCUGGUCGUGCCAUUGGUACGUAUUAGUAUUAUUGAUUUCUCCCUUCUGAUGAAUCAUGAUGUCAUUAAUUUGAUGUCAUGGGGAAUCAGGACUGUUACUUUGAAAAAAUUGAGUGUUUAAAGCAGGCUCGCGCUUGAAUACAUUAGCAUGGAAUAAUGAAAUAGGACGUUUGAUUCUAUUUUGUUGGUUUCUAGGAUCGACGUAAUGAUUAAUAGGGAUAGUUGGGGGCAUUAGUAUUCAAUUGUCAGAGGUGAAAUUCUUGGAUUUAUGAAGACUAACUACUGCGAAAAGCAAUUUGCCAAGGAUGUUUUCAUUAAUCAAGAACGAAAGUUAGGGGAUCGAAGACGAUCAGAUACCGUCGUAGUCUUAACCAUAAACUAUGCCGACUAGGGAUCGGAUGAUGUUAAUUUUUUAAUGUACUU
rnacentral:rRNA from 1 species